rnacentral:siRNA from 1 species
ACGCAAACUAUCUUCCUGACGAGA